UUACAUUGACUCAAAAUUUUAUGUCUGGUUUACCUACACAAGGGCACAAUGAUGAAUUUUACGGAGGAUGCUCCUGGUACACAACAUCCUUACUUCAUAGUCACCUAUCUGAAUGGUGCAGAACAUCAAUGCUUUGUUAAUGCUAAGUCCCAUGAUUGUCUUUGUGUGCACUAAAGAAAGGCUAUGUUCUCUUAACAAGGAUGGAAAGUAUAACGGCAUACAAAAACCAACGUGGACAACCCAGAUCUGGAACUCCAGAACAAUCUGACACUCCAGUGUCUGCUAAUGACAUGUGUUCCCUUGCUGAAUGGCCAUCCCAUGCUCGCCGCAACCGUGCGCUACUAUAGGAUGAAGCUGGUGGACAGAAGAAGAAAGGGCGAGGUGUUCUAAAAGGUUUUAAAGCAUCUAAGAAGCGUUUUGCCAAUGGAUCUGCAAAGCUAAAUAUUACAUUUUCUGAAAAAUUGGGUGGUAUAGUAGGAAUGAACUAUCGUUCGUUCAAGGAUGACGUGGUAGUCAUAAUGAAAAGAAAGUUACCACUCAUUGGAGUGAGGACGUGGUCGGACAUUCACCCUACCAUUCAUCGACUCAUUGUUGCAGAUAUGAUAGACAGAUGGGACUUGGAAGAUACACCAUAAACAGAAGAAAAAGUUCUCAAAAUUGCGAAAGAGCGAUAUAGAGGUUGGCGAUCAACUCUAAGCUCCACUUAUAAGGCAUACAAAACAGAUGCAGCUAGAUUUGCUAAUCUGCCGGAAGAUUUGCAACCAGAAGAGUGGGAAUGG